rnacentral:rRNA from 1 species
GAGUUUGAUCGUGGCUCAGAUUGAACGCUGGCGGCAUGCCUUACACAUGCAAGUCGAACGGCAGCACGGGAGCUUGCUCCUGGUGGCGAGUGGCGAACGGGUGAGUAAUGCGUCGGAACGUAUCCUGGAGUGGGGGAUAACGUAGCGAAAGUUACGCUAAUACCGCAUAUUCUGUGAGCAGGAAAGCGGGGGACCUUCGGGCCUCGCGCUCUUGGAGCGGCCGAUGUCGGAUUAGCUAGUUGGUGAGGUAAAGGCUCACCAAGGCGACGAUCCGUAGCAGGUCUGAGAGGAUGAUCUGCCACACUGGAACUGAGACACGGUCCAGACUCCUACGGGAGGCAGCAGUGGGGAAUUUUGGACAAUGGGGGCAACCCUGAUCCAGCCAUGCCGCGUGAGUGAAGAAGGCCUCGGUUGUAAG